UAAGACACAUUGCUUUAGACGGAGUCGUCUUCUCGAUUACCAUAAUUCCCUGCGAAAAAGAUAAGUAACGCACGCGAGAAGCAUUAAGAAGCCGCCAUUAAACUCAACAUUCAUUCUCUGUAAUCUGAGAUCCCACUACAUCUCAUUUACUUCCCCACCACCACCUUCUUUAGUUUCUUUGCAAUCUAUAUCCUAUAAAUAAGCGUUCCAUGAUUCUCACAUAUUCAUCACAGUCAUCCUCUCCAGAGAAGGUCACAAACCUCAGCCAACCAUGGACACCUCUCAGCUAUAGCUAAGAGAAUUGAAGCCAGAACGUUGCAGUAAAUCGUAGUCACUGGCCUUCUUCGGUUUUGCGAAGCUCUGAUGUGAAGAAGUGAUGAAUCUAUGGGCGUCAGCAUGUUGCUUUUGGAUGAUAAGAGUCUGAAGCAUUUAGGAAAGUGAAGAGUGAUCCGAAUUAUACAAAGUCAUGGUAGGUGCAGAGAUCUACCUAGCUUAAAGACACAGGAAGGGGCACGUUAAAAGUUUCUAUCACAGUGGACUCACGACAAAAGACACUAAUGAUCUGUGGAUUCAAGCUGACUUUGAUGGGAACAGUCUAAAACAAUUUUAAUUAACAAAGAGUUGGAAAUCAUACCCCGUGUGAACAGAGAAAUGCUGAGGACAGAGAAGCAAAUGGUAACCAAGAACAAACGGUUGGUUUCAGUGUCAAGAACACAGCAUUGUUUCCUUCUGAAGUGGAGGAAGGAGUGUAGCUAGAAACUUACUCUCUCUCAGAUCAAGCGAGGCUGACAAUUUUAUUCACUCCCAUAAGAAUGCCUUGCUCCGGUGCUCCCAAUUGGUUUCAUGACAAAACCCUGUAACAACAAACCUUUCUCUUCUUACAUGAGACCUUUAGGUUUAUGUGCCCCCCCCCCCCCCCCCCUCCUCAUAUUAUAGGUUAGUAUCAACACUUUGCCUCCAUAGGCCAAAAAAAAAUACUGGCAACACCCUGGUUGCUCUCCCCUUGUGGUUUGUGCGUUGGGUGAAGAAGAGAGAAAAGGAUAUUACACGCUGGUCUUAAUCUUAUACAUUAUACUCUGUUCAAAUACUCUGUUCGAAUAUGUUAACCAAAUGUGGAAGUUUUCAUGUAAAAAUAAAUGUUGUAGUAAAGAUUUAAGAAGCAUCUU